rnacentral:rRNA from 1 species
UACAGAGGGUGCAAGCGUUGUUCGGAAUUAUUGGGCGUAAAGCGCGUGUAGGCGGCUUUGCAAGUCGGGUGUGAAAGCCCUCAGCUCAACUGAGGAAGUGCGCCCGAAACUGCGGAGCUUGAGUACCGGAGAGGAUGGCGGAAUUCCCCAAGUAGAGGUGAAAUUCGUAGAUAUGGGGGAGGAACACCGGUGGCGAAGGCGGCCAUCUGGACGGAUACUGACGCUGAGACGCGAAAAGCGUGGGGUAGCAAAACAGGA